rnacentral:misc_RNA from 1 species
AAAAUUCACAAUGCGGAGGUACUCUUUCGAGAGGAUGCCACGGUUGAUGAUCUUAUUGAUGUAAUUGAGGGGAACCGUAAGUACAUGAAGUGUGUGUAUGUCUACAAUAAGAUUGAUGUAGUUGGUAUUGACGAUGUAGACAAAUUAGCCCGCCAGCCCAAUUCAGUUGUCAUUAGUUGUAAUCUGAAGUUGAACUUAGACAGACUACUAUCUAGGAUGUGGGAGGAGAUGGGCCUUGUUAGGGUUUAUACCAAGCCUCAAGGCCAGCAACCUGAUUUCUCAGAUCCAGUUGUUCUUUCUGCUGAUAGAGGUGGCUGU